rnacentral:rRNA from 1 species
GAUGAACGCUGGCGGCGUGCCUAAUACAUGCAAGUCGAGCGAACGGACGAGAAGCUUGCUUCUCUGAUGUUAGCGGCGGACGGGUGAGUAACACGUGGAUAACCUACCUAUAAGACUGGGAUAACUUCGGGAAACCGGAGCUAAUACCGGAUAAUAUUUUGAACCGCCUGGUUCAACAGUGAAAGACGGUCUUGCUGUCACUUAUAGAUGGAUCCGCGCUGCAUUAGCUAGUUGGUAAGGUAACGGCUUACCAAGGCCACGAUGCAUAGCCGACCUGAGAGGAGGAACAGGCACAAGGGGACUGGGAACAGGCCCAGACUCCCACGGGAGGCAGGAGUGGGGAAUUUUGCACAAUGGGGGCAAGCCUGAUCGAGCCAUCCCGCGGGGAGGAAGAAGGCCUUCGGGUUGUAAAAUGCUGUUGUAUGGGAAGAAAAGGAUGUGGAUAAAACCUGGGGCUCAUGACGGUACCGUAAGAAUAAGCCCCGGCUAAAUACGUG